ACCCGUCUUGAAACACGGACCAAGGAGUGUAACAUGCGCGCGAGUCGUUGGGUCGGACACGCUCCGCUAAACCCAUAGGCGCAAUGAAAGUGAAGGUCGCCCUCCGCGGGACCGAGGGAGGACGGAGGCGACCCUUUAGUCGCCUCCCGCACUCCCGGGGGGUCUGAUUCCUCUCUCCGAGGGAAGGAGCACCCAGAGCGCACACGUUGGGACCCGAAAGAUGGUGAACUAU
rnacentral:rRNA from 1 species